CGCGUGUAGCAGUGAAAUGCGUAGAUAUGCGGAGGAACACCGAUGGCGAAGGCAAUCCCCUGGGCCUGCACUGACGCUCAUGCACGAAAGCGUGGGGAGCAAACAGGAUUAGAUACCCUGGUAGUCCACGCCCUAAACGAUGUCAACUGGUUGUUGGGAGGGUUUCUUCUCAGUAACGUAGCUAACGCGUGAAGUUGACCGCCUGGGGAGUACGGCCGCAGGGUUGAAACUCAAAGGAAUUGACGGGGACCCGCACAAGCGGUGGAUGAUGUGGUUUAAUUCGAUGCAACGCGAAAAACCUUACCUACCCUUGACAUGUCUGGAAUCCUGAAGAGAUUUGGGAGUGCUCGAAAGAGAACCAGAACACAGGUGCUGCAUGGCCGUCGUCAGCUCGUGUCGUGAGAUGUUGGGCUAAGUCCCGCAACGAGCGCAACCCUUGUCAUUAGUUGCUACGAAAGGGCACUCUAAUGAGACUGCCGGUGACAAACCGGAGGAAGGUGGGGAUGACGUCAGGUCAUCAUGGCCCUUAUGGGUAGGGCUACACACGUCAUACAAUGGCCGGGACAGAGGGCUGCCAACCCGCGAGGGGGAGCUAAUCCCAGAAACCCGGUCGUAGUCCGGAUCGUAGUCUGCAACUCGACUGCGUGAAGUCGGAAUCGCUAGUAAUCGCGGAUCAGCUUGCCGCGGUGAAUACGUUCCCGGGUCUUGUACACACCGCCCGUCACACCAUGGGAGCGGGUUCUGCCAGAAGUAGUUAGCCUAACCGCAAGGAGGGCGAUUACCACGGCAGGGUUCGUGACUGGGGUG
rnacentral:rRNA from 1 species